rnacentral:misc_RNA from 1 species
AUUGGUAUGAGAAGCUUCCAGGAAUAACCUGUGUAUAAGGUGCAAGCCCUUUACACUAGGAUAUCUUCUGGCAAAUUUUGGAGGGAGGGUCUUCGGACUCUCUUUUUUUUUUUAUUUUUUU